rnacentral:tRNA from 1 species
UUUAAUAUGGCAGAUUAGUGCAAUGAAUUUAAGUUUCAUAAAUGAAAAUUUAAAUUUUCUAUUAAAA